rnacentral:lncRNA from 1 species
AAUAAACAUCUGCCGCUGUAUAAGUAAGAACAGAGAGGGCAGAAGAAAGAAGGGAGGGUCAGCGUGGAUUCGGUAACCUGAGCCAGGCCUGUCCCAGGUAGGGAGGGGCGGGUGCCAGGCCUCCUUCCAGGCACUGCUGCCCACGUGGGUCCAAAGCCCCUCGGCCUGGGGUGGGCUGGCCCCCUCCCUGCUUUUGCAGUGACUGUCAAGGAAACCGCUGCUGUCGGGCUAAAGCCCUCUUUGACUCCUUCACCAAGAGACAGCCCCUGGUGAACAUUUGGGGAAGUCCUUACAGACCUUUACCCUUCAUGUUUAUGUAGAUAGAUAGGCAGACAGACAGACAGACAGACAGACGUGAUUGAUAGAUACACAGAUGCCAGAUAAUAGGCAGAUAGGAUAAGACAGAUGACUGCUCAGUAAGGUAGAUGGUACAUGGAUGGAUGAUUGACAGAUCAUAAAUGAAGGAGGUGGAUGAUUGACAGAAGCUAGCUCUAGAUAGACGUUUGAGAUAGAUGAUAGAAAGAAGGGAAGGGAACAAAAAAAGAGACGAGGAAGGGGGAGGGAGGAGAGGGGAAGGGGAUGUAAGAAUGAAGGUGCGUUACGUCCAUACACCAACUCCUGAUGAAUGUAAUCAUCGUAUACUGCAAAGAUGGAUUAAGAAAAGUUUAAAAUUUUAAAAAUAAACAAAAAAGAGGUAGUUGAUAGAUAUAGACAGACAGAUAGACAUGUAGAUGAAACACAGACAGAUUCACACCUGUAUGCAUGAUGCUGAUUUCUGGGCUUCCCCGCUUACUCGUGGUACCAUAUUGUGGCUACUGGUCCUCGCCUGGCCCUUUCCUUGCGUCCCACACUUUGGGAGUUUUCCUCUGGCUGCUGCAUAUCAAUAAUCCCCUUGUGUCCUGAAGUGAGGGAAAAAGCAGACAGGUGAAGGGAGCUGAAGUCGGCCUUGCAUCCUGGCCAGAUGUGGCUGCCUCUGUGUAAUCUACCCAGCCAAAAAUGAUGCCUUUGGGGGCCCACAUGUGCACUUCAGAGGCUGGAGGGCCCGUGAGUGCUGCCUGUACCCAAGGACAGGCAGCAAUGCCACUGUGAGGGGCCAGAUGGACAGCCUCCCCCAGAGCACCCGCCCUGUCCAUGUGCAUGUCCAUCUCUAAUGAACACGUGGUAGCCUGGCGAAUCAGGUGAUAGUUCCAACUCUGCCACCAACUCCCUGUGUGUCCCUGAGCCACCCACCUGCCCUCUCCAGCCUCAGUUUCCCCUGAGGGAUAUUAACACCACCUGGGGACAUCUGUGAACUGCUUAGGGCGAGGAUCGGGUCUCUGUCCCCAAAUUCUUUGUGCUCUUAAACCCUUGUGAAACUAGGUGUGUCCCCAAGCCAGAAAUCCCCUGGAGUUGCAGGAUUCCGGUUCACAUUCCUCCCCCGGGGCCUGGGGUGCUGAAGUCAGGGCGGCAGCUAAUUGGCACAAGUGUGUUUGUUUUACAACAGUGUUUUGAAAGAAUUCGAGAUACUUGCCAGUGGUUAAAAAUGUGGAGAAAUGACAUUAAAAUUAAGGGUUCUCUACUUGUUGGAGAAAAUGACAACGUGGAGCUGAAGUAGCCAUGAUGUGACUGACUUGAGGGACCAGCGGGAGCUUGUCCACUUCAGGAAGCAAGCUGUGAUCCCUUCCAGUCACCAACCUCGACUCGAUGUGCAAUCUUGGAGUGCUGGUAAUCCCAAGGAUGCAUCUCCAUAACCACCAUGCCGGCUUGCAUUUCCUGCCUGGGUGGCUAUGUGGUCCCCACGGCUGUUAGAUAAUAGCAGCCACCUUAAUAUACAACUGCCAGGGGCACCAGGCUGCAUGGCUGAUUUUCAAAAGGACUAGAGAUAGAAGUCACAGAUUAGUGAGUAUAUACAGAACUCUUCAAAGGUUUUGCAGAUCAUUCCGAAGAAUUCCAGGAGCCUGCAGAUUCCUGGGAUCAGAGGCUGGGUCUCCUGGUACAGUGGAUAAGUAGAAUAGCUGCUGACUUGGGAGUUCUGGUUAAAGGGGCGGUCAGAGGUGCUACCUUUCCCUGGAUUUUACACAACUAGAUUAAGCGAGAUUUUGGCUAAGAGAAAUCUGAAGAUUUAGCAUUCUCGAUGGAAGUGUUGAUAGCAUUUGUAGUAUAUCUUUUGGAGACGGGAAGAAAGUAUGAAGGCCCAGGAACUUACACUGCUGGGUUGGAUGUUUUUGAGAUGUUUCUUUCUGUGGGGCUGGGGACUGGGCACUUCUUAAGGCAGCUGCCCUGGCAGAGCAGGUCCCUUCCAGGCUGGCCGUGCCCGCCCUGCACUCUCCAUUUGAUGCACUGUGCCCUGGAGUUGCAUCUGCUCUUCUUCCUGGGACCAGGCUCCAUGAACUGUCUCUUCCCUGCCUGCUUCCUGCUCUUGUCAUUGACCCCUGAUCCUAGCUGAAUGGCCACCUUGGAGUCUGGCACUGCCCCAUCUGCUCAGCCCCUACAAGGGACGCCUACCACCUCCACCAGGAAGCACACAGCUCACACAUCCUCCCUUCACAUCAGCUUAGCCCUUACUCAUUCUCUUUGUAACAAGAAAAUCUUGGCAGUGAAAGAUGCGUCCGGGUACAAGGGCUCCUUUCCACAGGUUCAUUGUCAGCUUGAGUCACACUCAGGUGGGCUGGCUUUGCACAGCUUUGUGCACCUCGCCGGGGACUCCUGGUCAUCAGAUGACAGUACAGUGGCUUCCGAGGCUCCUUCAGGCUGUGGAACUCAGGAGCCAAGCGAACCAGGUCAGAGUCCAGGCCCUUGCUGCUACUCCAGCAGCUACUUCUCGGGGACCUGGGCACCAGGGCUGCAAGGGAAGGUUUGGCCUCGACAAAAUAGCGUCUUCCCUCGGAAGGGGCCACUGGUUGGGCACAGCAGCCUGUGGCGACCCCUCCGCAACUCUCUUAUCAGCACCUCCACUCCUUGCACCUGACCCCAGGACUUGUAGCAGGGUGACCUGAUCUUGAGUCUGUUUCCAGACCCCAAGGAUAUAAGAGAUAAAAGAGAGGAGCAGCCCUGAGUUAGAAGUCAUGUGCACGGAUAGAAGGUUAUAGCUUUUCUUUGAAAUUAUUUAUGAAAACAUUUGCCACGUAGAAACAUAACAACCUCAGAGAUGGGGCUAAUGGCCCUGCCCUGCCCCUUCCAUCUGAGUGUUGUCCCUUUGGGAUGCCUCUUCUUGUCCUGUCCCGAGGGCUCCAUGUGCUUCUGAGCACCUGGGCGCACCUGUAGGAAACGUCUAGAGACACAGAGCCACCCUCUUCCAUGGAGUCCCUCACUUGCCCUCCUCAGUCUGCAGCAUGCUUUCCAGGCUUCUGAUCCUGCAGGAAGGGGGCCCAGUUCAUGCCACCUGCCUGCCACUGCCUGACCGUGGUGCCCUCUGCAUGUGUGGGGAGCGUUUCUCACAGGGGUACCAGGAGGCGCAGUUGAUGCCUCCCCAGCGGACACACUUUCAAGGCUGUUAUUUUUGUGUGUGUGUUUUCUUUUGUUUUGUCGUUGGUGGUGGUCGUUUGGUUUCUCCCCCUAGUAGUGGGAAGUGAACCUAGGGCAUUUGCACUGAGCUACAUCCCCAGCUUUUUUGUUGUUUUUAAUUUUUUAUUUUGAAACAGGGACUUGCUAAGUCACUAAGUUUGCCUAGGCUGCACUCGAACUUGGAAUUCUCCUGUCUCAGCCUCGAAGACUGCUGGGAUUAUAGGCAUGGGCCACAGCACUUGGCUGUGUUUUCAGUUUGGUUUUUUUGUUGUUUUUUUGUUUUGUUUUGUUCUGUUUUUUGGGUACCAGGGAUUGAACUCGGGUCCUUGCACUUGCGCAACAGGCAGCGAAACCACUGAGCUAAAUCCCCGGCCCUGUGUUUUCAGUUUUAAUGGGCUCUGCUCAGUUGGAUUUCUACAUAAAUAAAGGCUUCACUCGGUCAACACAGAGGUUGUACUAGAUUAGGGUGUGCUCCAGACCCAGUGACUGGUGUCUGGAUAAGAAGAAGGAGAUUCAGGUAGUGGCUGACACAGGGAGAAGGGAGAAGGGCACAUGGAGAUGAAAGCAGAAAUCAGAAUGCUGCGGCUAUGAGCCAAGGACAUCAAGGAUCGAGGGGGUCACCAGAAACCAGGAGGAGGCAAGGAAAGAUUCUUCCCAGAGCCCUUGGGGGAGCAUAGCCCUGCUGGCACCUUGAUUUCUGACUUAAAGCAUCUUGGUUUCGGAAUGUCUGUUGAUGUAAGACCACCAAGUUUGUGACAUUUUGCAAAUGGGAAGGGAACCAAUAGAUGGAGGGAGAGUGGAGGGAGAGGAGGGGAGAGGGAUGUAGAAAGAAUGAAGAUGUGUUAUGUACAUAUUCCAACUCCCUGCAAUGAAUGUAAUCAUUAUGUACUGCAAACAUGGAC